rnacentral:rRNA from 1 species
UAAUUCGACGCAACGCGAAGAACCUUACCAGCCCUUGACAUGUCCCGUAUGGUCCGUGGAGACGCGGUCCUUCAGUUCGGCUGGCGGGAACACAGGUGCUGCAUGGCUGUCGUCAGCUCGUGUCGUGAGAUGUUGGGUUAAGUCCCGCAACGAGCGCAACCCCCAUCUUCAGUUGCCAUCAGUUUGGCUGGGCACUCUGGAGAAACUGCCGGUGACAAGCCGGAGGAAGGCGGGGAUGACGUCAAGUCCUCAUGGCCCUUAUGGGCUGGGCUACACACGUGCUACAAUGGCGGUGACAGAGGGGAGCAAGGCAGCGAUGCCGAGCCAAUCUCAAAAAGCCGUCUCAGUUCGGAUUGCUCUCUGCAACUCGAGAGCAUGAAGUCGGAAUCGCUAGUAAUCGCGGAUCAGCAUGCUACGGUGAAUACGUUCCCGGGCCUUGUACACACCGCC